GGGACAGUUCUGCCCCAGCGCCUUCCAGCUUUUCUCCAAGCACUCCUUGCAGAAGCUGUGGCUGCAGGAAAGAAGCACGGGCUCCCGAUGUAUCUCUUCUGGUGGAUCACCCACAUCUUUCUAUCCCUCCCUUCUCUCCUCUCUCUGGUCCAAUCCCUCACGUGCAACAAGGAGACACAGUAUGCUUGGUCACUGUUAGUAAGCUAAUGGUGCUGCAGCAAAUGUCCACCAGAUGUAUCUCUUCUGGUGGAUCACCCACAUCUUUCUAUCCCUCCCUUCUCUCCCCUCUCUGGUCCAAUCCCUCACGUGCAACAAGGAGACACAGUAUGCUUGGUCACUGUUAGUAAGCUAAUGGUGCUGCAGCAAAUGUCCACCAGGUAAGCCAUUCGAAUAAGACUUUUGUGUGUGUGUGUGUGUGUGU